rnacentral:rRNA from 1 species
UAUGCUUAGGGCUACACACGUGCUACAAUGGGUAGUACAGAGGGUUGCCAAGCCGUAAGGUGGAGCUAAUCCCUUAAAGCUACUCUCAGUUCGGAUUGUAGGCUGAAUCUCGCCUACAUGAAGCUGGGGUUACUAGUAAUCGCAGAUCAGAAUGCUGCGGUGAAGGCGUUCCCGGGUCUUGUACACACCGCCCGUCACACCACGGGAGUUGGAGACGCCCGAAGCCGAUUAUCUAACAUUUAGGGAGAAGUCGUC